UUCUAAAGUUAUUAACUCGUUUUAUAUUUUCUUUAUUCGUAAGUAGAUAUUCUUUCAUUAAUGUUAAAGGAGGACUAGAUUUCGCUCAGAGAGUUCUCAAGCCUGAUCUCUCCUCUCGUAUGAGUUUUAAAACUCAGUUUUUUCCUCCAUUUCUAUACAUUAUUUAUAAUAACUAAUGCAUAUAGAAUAGUUUAUUGUCAAUUAAUAUUAGGAUCGAUCUUGAUAUUCU
rnacentral:lncRNA from 1 species